rnacentral:rRNA from 1 species
CAGUAGCCGCGGGAAUACGUAGGGUGCAAGCGUUAAUCGGAAUUACUGGGCGUAAAGCGUGCGAAGGCGGUUAUAUAAGUCAGAUGUGAAAUCCCCGGGCUCAACCUGGGAACUGCAUCUGAGACUGUAUGGCUAGAGUGUGUCAGAGGGGGGUAGAAUUCCACGUGUAGCAGUGAAAUGCGUAGAGAUGUGGAGGAAUACCGACGGCGAAGGCAGCCCCCUGGGCCAAUACUGACGCUCAUGCACGAAAGCGUGGGGAGCAAACAGGAUUAGAUACCCGCGUAGUCCCUGUCUCUUAUAC